rnacentral:rRNA from 1 species
UGGUGGAGUGAUUUGUCUGGUUAAUUCCGUUAACGAACGAGACCUCAGCCUACUAAAUAGUUGUACCAAUUACUGCUUGCAGGAUUGAUUGGUAAAGAUACUUCUUAGAGGGACUAUUGGUGUUUAGCCAAUGGAAGUUUGAGGCAAUAACA